rnacentral:rRNA from 1 species
UACGUAGGUGGCUAGCGUUGUCCGGAUUUACUGGGCGUAAAGAGCGCGCAGGCGGUCGUUCAAGUCGAGUGUGAAAGCCCCCCGGGCUCAACUGGGGAGGGUCACUCGAUACUGAUCGACUCGAAGGCAGGAGAGGGAAGCGGAAUUCCCAGUGUAGAGGUGAAAUUCGUAGAUAUUGGGAAGAACACCGAUGGCGAAGGCAGCCAUCUGGACCGGCACUGACGCUGAGGCGCGAAAGCGUGGGGAGCAAACAGG